rnacentral:ncRNA from 1 species
GUGAUACUGCCACCGGGCAGGAAUGUUUCAGGCAUUCGUUCCGCAUCGUUAGGUCUUUGAAGAUGCGGAGGCGGAUGCCUUUUUUGAA